UGGGUGAAGGAGAAGAGAACGAGAGAUUUGACGAUGCAAAACCCGAAGACGAUAAUGGCAAAGCAAGAAAUCUGAACGUCUUUGAUGAAGACGAAGCGAAGACCAUUUCCUCCUCGCCAGCCAGUGCCUGUCUGCUCGACCAUAGACACGGCAAUCAAUGGCAGUCUGAUAUGCUUAAUGGGGAUGGUGAUGGCUCUGUUUUUCUUCCCGUUAUUCAUUUGUUUUCCUCAAACAAGUGUUGGAUACUUAAAAAUGGAAUCUUUACCUCCUUUCUUCGAUAGAAUCUAGUAGUUUUUCAUAGUAGAACCACCUAAAGAAAUAUAUAAUACCGCCGAGCUCAGUAACCCGGGCUUGUCACCUGAGUGGGGGCUUUAAAAUGGUUGGAGAUUGAUUCGUUUCUGAAGGUUGGGCUAUGGAGAGUUAGAUGCUGGCCCACCCAUUCCAAGAGGAGAGUUGAGCUUUGAGUCUUGAGUGUAAGCUUGGGGUGUAAUGCUCUUAGAGCGGAGGGGACUGCGUAAGGCUGGAAACAGAGCAAUGAAGACCUACAGCUCUCUUCAAUGGAGGGAUAAUCGGCCGGUGCUUUCCAGACCCCGUAGUGCCUGAUGGGCCAACCUCAAUAAAGAAAUAUAUAAUAUCUUCGUACUCAAAGAACUCCUUGAUUGUGUGCUCUCUAAUACUAAGUAUUGCUUCAGAGGUUAUUGUAGAUACAGGCAUUACUAAAACAUCUUGCUCUAUCAACGAGAGAAUACCAAUCUAGGACUGUUGACCUUCCA